AAAACACUAGCUCGCGAUUUAUGUGAAGAGAUUCGACCUUUCCUUAAAACACCACAAAAAGCUACUGACUUGUCGGUGGAGACAAAGGUUUUGACUGCUUUGUCAUUUUUUGCCACAGGGUCUUAUCAAAGACCUACAGGAAAGAUUCAAGGGCAUUUUGUAGCUCAGCAAACUGUGUCUACUGUCAUAAAUGAAAUUUCAAAGUGCCUAAAUAAUACAUAUUUUAGAGAAAAAUAUAUUCCCUUUCCUAAUAAUAGUGAUGAACAAAACAAAAUAAAAACAAGAUUUCAUAACAAGUUUAAUAUUCCGGGAGUAUUAGGAUGCAUUGAUGGCACUCAUGUUGCUAUUGUGCGUCCUAACCAGCAUGAAGACAGAUAUUUUUGCAGAAAGGAUUACCAUUCUCUAAACGUACAAU